GGGGUCGCGUCCUAUCAGCUUGUUGGCGGGGUGAUGGCCUGCCAAGGCUUCGACGGGUAGCCGGCCUGAGAGGGCGACCGGCCACAUUGGGACUGAGAUACGGCCCAGACUCCUACGGGAGGCAGCAGUGGGGAAUAUUGCACAAUGGGCGAAAGCCUGAUGCAGCGACGCCGCGUGCGGGAUGACGGCCUUCGGGUUGUAAACCGCUUUUGAUUGGGAGCAAGCGAGAGUGAGUGUACCUUUCGAAUAAGCACCGGCUAACUACGUGCCAGCAGCCGCGGUAAUACGUAGGGUGCAAGCGUUAUCCGGAUUUAUUGGGCGUAAAGAGCUCGUAGGCGGUUCGUCGCGUCUGGUGUGAAAGUCCAUCGCUUAACGGUGGAUCGGCGCCGGGUACGGGCGGACUGGAGUGCGGUAGGGGAGACUGGAAUUC
rnacentral:rRNA from 1 species